GCUGCCAAACCAGUCAUUUCAUUUAGGAAAGCAAGAGCCCUCCCAUCUCCUCCUUCUACCACUCGGACAAAAUAAUAAAAAAAAAAUAGCGCAUCUGACAGCUUUAUUUGCUAGAAAGCGUACGGGAAAUCAAGCAUUUUGUGCAUGCAGACAACACAAGGGGGAUAUAUUAAUAUAUCUCAAGGCAAGGACGUUUAUGGCUUGUUCUUACUCGCUCGUUGCACAGUGUGACAUCCUGGUUCUGUGUCUCACACAGUGCAAUAAUGCUGAUGAAGGCCAAGCCAAACUGGAGACUGCAUUUGCAAUAAUAUAUUAAUCGUGCAAGCUGCCGACACGGCUGCGUGCGGCUACUAGAAACGGCUUAGAAAACAAAGCUGGAAUAUUUUAAACACCCUCCUAUUUUGAAAGGAUCUGUCCAAUAAAAACCUGUCUCCGGUAAAGCGGCGGAAGGGAAACGCGGACGCGAAGUUUUAUUUGUGUAUUCAUUUAAAAAAAGCGUAAUUUUUGUUGUUGGCACUAGUGUUGUUGCUUAAUCUUCUGAUAUUUCCGGGGAUUCUUCCAACACACUCUAGCGAAGAGGACGAAAAACGCUGACCCCGUUAUGGUUUUUGCUGUGCGUUUCUACACCUGUGAAGGGUGUGACUUCAUCACUUAGAGAUGCCACACUGACUUCCUGCCGUCCGCUCUCCAGCCUAGCGCAGCUUCAUCUCUUCUGCACACCAGGCCAGGUAAUGGAAAUGGGAACUUUGUGAAGGUCAGCGUCAUUGUAAUGCUCCUGGUUAGCUUUAAAACAUACUGAGU